CUACGUGCCAGCAGCCGCGGUAAUACGGAAGGUCCAGGCGUUAUCCGGAUUUAUUGGGUUUAAAGGGAGCGUAGGCUGGAGAUUAAGUGUGUUGUGAAAUGUAGGCGCUCAACGUCUGAAUUGCAGCGCAUACUGGUUUCCUUGAGUACGCACAACGUUGGCGGAAUUCGUCGUGUAGCGGUGAAAUGCUUAGAUAUGACGAAGAACUCCGAUUGCGAAGGCAGCUGACGGGAGCGCAACUGACGCUUAAGCUCGAAGGUGCGGGUAUCAAACAGGAUUAGAUACCCUGGUAGUCCGCACAGUAAACGAUGGAUGCCCGCUGUUGGUACCUGGUAUCAGCGGCUAAGCGAAAGCAUUAAGCAUCCCACCUGGGGAGUACGCCGGCAACGGUGAAACUCAAAGGAAUUGACGGGGGCCCGCACAAGCGGAGGAGCAUGUGGUUUAAUUCGAAGCAACGCGAAGAACCUUACCAGGUCUUGACAUCCCUCUGAUCGCUCUAGAGAUAGAG
rnacentral:rRNA from 1 species